AAAGAAAGAAAGAAAGAGAGAAAGAGAAAGAAAGAAAGAAAAAAUUGGGGGACUUGUACUAGUCAGCAUCCAAAAUGGAUCUAAGUGACCUUUACCUCUUGGUAUUCAAGUCCUUGUAUAGCCCCUGCCCAUGAUGAACAGGAAUACCUGUGCAACCAAUAGAAUAUUGAGGAAUUGAGGAUGUUUGACUUCUGAGGCUAAGGUCAUAAACAAUAUUGCAGCUUCCACUUUGCUCUUUCCUGGCUUACUCACUCUGGCAGGAAUCAGCCACCAAGUUAUGAGAACACUCAAACAGUCCAAGGGAAAGGUCGACGUGGCGAAGAACUCAGACCUCCCGCCAGCAGCCUGCACUAACUUGCCAGCCUGUGAAUGAGCCAUCUUGGAAGCAGAUCUUCCCACACCAGAGUAAAGCCUCCAGAAGCCCUGACCAACAUCUUGAUUACAACCCCAUGAGGCACCCUGAGCCAGAACCAACCAGCUAAGCUCUUUCCAAAUUCCUGGCCUAUGGAAACUAUGAAGGCUCCUUAAAGGGAAAUCAUGCAGACAGAUCAUCUCCAUCUCCUUCAUUUGGGCUGGAAAUAAAACAUGAUGGUUGAAGCAUUCCUGGCAUGCAGCUUCUGAAACAUUUUGGAAUCCUGAGAAUGAUAAGGAUAAGGGAACUGACA